rnacentral:rRNA from 1 species
AACGCUAGCUACAGGCUUAACACAUGCAAGUCGAGGGGCAUCAGGAAGAAAGCUUGCUUUCUUUGCUGGCGACCGGCGCACGGGUGAGUAACACGUAUCCAACCUGCCCUUUACUCGGGGAUAGCCUUUCGAAAGAAAGAUUAAUACCCGAUAGCAUAAUGAUUCCGCAUGGUUUCAUUAUUAAAGGAUUCCGGUAAAGGAUGGGGAUGCGUUCCAUUAGGUUGUUGGUGAGGUAACGGCCCACCAAGCCUUCGAUGGAUAGGGGUUCUGAGAGGAAGGUCCCCCACAUUGGAACUGAGACACGGUCCAAACUCCUACGGGAGGCAGCAGUGAGGAAUAUUGGUCAAUGGGCGCUAGCCUGAACCAGCCAAGUAGCGUGAAGGAUGAAGGCUCUAUGGGUCGUAAACUUCUUUUAUAUAAGAAUAAAGUGCACCAUGUAUACUGUUUUGUAUGUAUUAUAUGAAUAAGGAUCGGCUAACUCCGUGCCAGCAGCCGCGGUAAUACGGAGGAUCCGAGCGUUAUCCGGAUUUAUUGGGUUUAAAGGGAGCGUAGGUGGACUGGUAAGUCAGUUGUGAAAGUUUGCGGCUCAACCGUAAAAUUGCAGUUGAUACUGUCAAUCUUGAGUACAGUAGAGGUGGGCGGAAUUCGUGGUGUAGCGGUGAAAUGCUUAGAUAUCACGAAGAACUCCGAUUGCGAAGGCAGCUCACUGGACUGCAACUGACACUGAUGCUCGAAAGUGUGGGUAUCAAACAGGAUUAGAUACCCUGGUAGUCCACACAGUAAACGAUGAAUACUCGCUGUUUGCGAUAUACAGUAAGCGGCCAAGCGAAAGCAUUAAGUAUUCCACCUGGGGAGUACGCCGGCAACGGUGAAACUCAAAGGAAUUGACGGGGGCCCGCACAAGCGGAGGAACAUGUGGUUUAAUUCGAUGAUACGCGAGGAACCUUACCCGGGCUUAAAUUGCAGUGGAAUGAUGUGGAAACAUGUCAGUGAGCAAUCACCGCUGUGAAGGUGCUGCAUGGUUGUCGUCAGCUCGUGCCGUGAGGUGUCGGCUUAAGUGCCAUAACGAGCGCAACCCUUAUCUUUAGUUACUAACAGGUUAUGCUGAGGACUCUAGAGAGACUGCCGUCGUAAGAUGUGAGGAAGGUGGGGAUGACGUCAAAUCAGCACGGCCCUUACGUCCGGGGCUACACACGUGUUACAAUGGGGGGUACAGAAGGCAGCUAGCGGGUGACCGUAUGCUAAUCCCAAAAUCCUCUCUCAGUUCGGAUCGAAGUCUGCAACCCGACUUCGUGAAGCUGGAUUCGCUAGUAAUCGCGCAUCAGCCACGGCGCGGUGAAUACGUUCCCGGGCCUUGUACACACCGCCCGUCAAGCCAUGGGAGCCGGGGGUACCUGAAGUACGUAACCGCAAGGAUCGUCCUAGGGUAAAACUGGUGA